UACGAAGGGUGCAAGCGUUACUCGGAAUUACUGGGCGUAAAGCGUGCGUAGGUGGUUCGUUAAGUCUGAUGUGAAAGCCCUGGGCUCAACCUGGGAAUUGCAUUGGAUACUGGCGGGCUAGAGUGCGGUAGAGGGUGGCGGAAUUUCCGGUGUAGCAGUGAAAUGCGUAGAGAUCGGGAGGAACAUCUGUGGCGGAGGCGGCCAUCUGGACCAGCACUGGCACUGAGGCACGAAAGCGUGGGGAGCAAACAGG
rnacentral:rRNA from 1 species